rnacentral:misc_RNA from 1 species
AAGUCGUAACAAGGUUUCCGUAGGUGAACCUGCGGAAGGAUCAUUAACACGUAUCCACGUUUAAAUCACCGCGAAUUUCUUAGGGUAGGCUUAUUUGAGAUGCCUUAUUCUCGACUUAGCGGUUGAGAUAGGGAUAUUGAAUAGGCUCCUAAGCUUUGACCCUUUCAGGAACAAAUCUUUAGUUUAGGGCUUUCAAUUCCCCAAUCAGGAACGCCUCCGAAGGCCGUCUCUUUGCAGACCGCUUUUAACCGAAUGCUGUACAACUCUUAGCAACGGAUAUCUUGGUUCUG